rnacentral:rRNA from 1 species
AUUGAACGCUGGCGGCAUGCUUUACACAUGCAAGUCGAACGGCAGCGCGGGCUUCGGCCUGGCGGCGAGUGGCGAACGGGUGAGUAAUACAUCGGAACGUGCCCAGUAGUGGGGGAUAGCUCGGCGAAAGCCGGAUUAAUACCGCAUACGACCUGAGGGUGAAAGCGGGGGAUCUUCGGACCUCGCGCUAUUGGAGCGGCCGAUGGCAGAUUAGCUAGUUGGUGGGGUAAAGGCCUACCAAGGCGACGAUCUGUAGCUGGUCUGAGAGGACGACCAGCCACACUGGGACUGAGACACGGCCCAGACUCCUACGGGAGGCAGCAGUGGGGAAUUUUGGACAAUGGGCGAAAGCCUGAUCCAGCAAUGCCGCGUGUGUGAUGAAGGCCUUCGGGUUGUAAAGCACUUUGGGCGGGAACGAAAAGGACUGUGCCAAUACCACGGUUCGAUGACGGUACCCGCAGAAUAAGCACCGGCUAACUACGU